ACUGGGACAAUAUGGAAAUGGCCACACCUGUAUGUUGGGUAGUUAAGCACGAAGAUACCAGCCUACCCCUAACCAGCAAAACAGGAAGAAGAGCGUGCUCUUGGUCCUGGUCCUACUAGAAAGGUUCUGUCAUCCAGGAACUUGCAGGAGUGGGCUCAGAAGGAAGACCCCAAAAUAUGAAAGG